GACGAACGCUGGCGGCGUGCUUAACACAUGCAAGUCGAGCGGAAAGGCCCCUUGUGGGUACUCGAGCGGCGAACGGGUGAGUAACACGUGAGUAAUCUGCCCUUCACUUCAGGAUAGCUCCCGGAAACGGGGAUUAAUACUGGAUAUGACACAUUCGCGCAUGUGGGUGUGUGGAAAGUUUUUUCGGUGGGGGAUGUGCUCGCGGCCUAUCAGCUUGGUGGUGGGGUAAUGGCCUACCAUGGCUUCGACGGGUAGCCGGCCUGAGAGGUUGACCGGUCACACUGGGACUGAGACACGGCCCAGACUCCUACGGGAGGCAGCAGUGGGGAAUAUUGGGCAAUGGGCGGAAGCCUGAUCCAGCAACGCCGCGUGAGGGAUGACGGCCUUCGGGUUGUAAACCUCUUUCAGCACAGACGAAGCGCAAGUGACGGUAUGUGCAGAAGAAGGACCGGCCAACUACGUGCCAGCCGCCGCAGUAAGAC
rnacentral:rRNA from 1 species